rnacentral:rRNA from 1 species
GACGAACGCUGGCGGCGUGCCUAAUACAUGCAAGUUGAGCGCUGAAGGUUGGUACUUGUACCAACUGGAUGAGCAGCGAACGGGUGAGUAACGCGUGGGGAAUCUGCCUUUGAGCGGGGGACAACAUUUGGAAACGAAUGCUAAUACCGCAUAAAAACUUUAAACACAAGUUUUAAGUUUGAAAGAUGCAAUUGCAUCACUCAAAGAUGAUCCCGCGUUGUAUUAGCUAGUUGGUGAGGUAAAGGCUCACCAAGGCGAUGAUACAUAGCCGACCUGAGAGGGUGAUCGGCCACAUUGGGACUGAGACACGGCCCAAACUCCUACGGGAGGCAGCAGUAGGGAAUCUUCGGCAAUGGACGAAAGUCUGACCGAGCAACGCCGCGUGAGUGAAGAAGGUUUUCGGAUCGUAAAACUCUGUUGGUAGAGAAGAACGUUGGUGAGAGUGGAAAGCUCAUCAAGUGACGGUAACUACCCAGAAAGGGACGGCUAACUACGUGCCAGCAGCCGCGGUAAUACGUAGGUCCCGAGCGUUGUCCGGAUUUAUUGGGCGUAAAGCGAGCGCAGGUGGUUUAUUAAGUCUGGUGUAAAAGGCAGUGGCUCAACCAUUGUAUGCAUUGGAAACUGGUAUACUUGAGUGCAGGAGAGGAGAGUGGAAUUCCAUGUGUAGCGGUGAAUUGCGUAGAUAUAUGGAGGAAACACCGGUGGCGAAAGCGGCUCUCUGGCCUGUAACUGACACUGAGGCUCGAAUGCGUGUGG